GGUAUUAUUCAGUCUAGAGUAAUUUGAGAAAGGUGGCGUCUGUACAUGUUUUAACACACACACACAGAAAUAAACAACCACUGCAAUAUACACAUAUAUUCAUACAUAUACUUUUAAUCAAACAUACACUACAACAUACCACAACAUGCAAGCAUAUAUACACACAUGCACAACAUUCAGACAUACAUAUACACACAUUCACACACACACACAUAUAUGUAUACACUACAACAUUUAGAUACAUACAUACACAUACACACUUUUGAACAAACAGAAACACACCUGACCAGGUAACACCCAUACAUGUAUAACCUUCAUCCUGGAGUUUAUGAUAUCGUAGCGAGAGUUGCAAGAUCCACAAUCUCUCCGCCGCUUGAAGAAGCUGAACUUAAAAUACAUUUUUAGACAGAAAAACCUCGGGCUGAAAUGGACGUUGCAUAUUUUAUUCCAGACAUGGAGGUUGAUGAGAACAUAAAACAAAUUAUGAGUGAUAAUAUUCAAUUCAUAGUGGAAUUUAUCCAAAAAUACCCACAAAAGGUGAACCAAACAAACUCAACAGGUAAAACAUACUUAAUGGCUGCUUGUAUACAUAGUAGCACAGAUAUGAUAAACAUGUUGAUAGAAGCAGGAUCUAAUUUGAACGUGACUGACAAAGAUGGUCUAACAGCAUUACAUUAGGCUGUGAAGAAGUAAGUUCAGAAUUAACUAAAAUCUUCAGAUCUGUUUCGUUUCCAAAUUUUUUCCAUUUCUAGACAGGUUAAAUAUCCAAAGAUGCCACAGGAGUGUCGGUGUGAGAGGAUGACAACAUAAUAUUGGUAACCAACAACAUCUUUUUCUCAUUUUCUCCAAAAAUCAACUUCAUUAUUGAACCAUAAGAACAUUUUUGAUUAUCUGUUUUCAAAACAUUUUUGUUUUGGGGAUAUUCUUUGAGAGCCAACGGUCACCCUUACGAUUGAUCCAAUGUGAAUCAGAGUCGUCUGUUGAUAUUGAUUAUGGAGAGAUCAAUCAAUUGUUUGGAAAGAAACUUAUAUUUGAGCAGCAAAAUGAAAACAAAGUUUUGGAUGUUAUGUCAAUAAUAAUCUGUAAACUUUCUCCCAAAGAUUAUAUCUCUCCACCAUCUGCAACAUAGCCAACACACUCUUAAAUGUAUCUUGACCUGAACUGUGCUCAUCAGGCCACCUCUGUGCUAUAAAACAUUUUUUGAAGUCCUUGUUGUUUUUUUAGUUUCCUUAGACAGAGUUUCAUUGCAUUUCAUGCUCACAUAGAUAUGAUUUAAUAUAAAAGUAUCAAUUAACAUAACAUGUAAUGGUUUCAUUAGAACUCAAUAUGAUCUCUUAUAUUCACAGAAAUGCAGCUUUAAAGAUAGAUAUGUUCCAUGAUAUCAACAUCCAUAGAAUAUAAAUCCAUAUCAUAUUAUAAGAGACAGAAAUAUUUAUUCAAAAUUUUAUUCUUUACAAUUGUUUUGGUGACAAAUUUUCACCAUUUCAUCAGAAGACAACGUUUCAAAUAAAGAAACUGUCAGAAAAUUCUGUCAUCAAAGAAUAUUCACAGAAUAAGAGUUACCAAAAUAAAAAUAAAGAAUCAUAGCAAAUUGAAAAGAAAAAAACACAUAAAAAUUAACAGAGUUGCAAGAAUAAGAAAAGAAUGGAGGAAGUUCAAAGAGUUAUUAUCUCUGUUGGUAACAAAAGGUUUCAUUGUUGGUAACAAAAGUGAAAGGCAGAAUGUAUGAUAUUUGUGUACAAACAACAAUUGUAUUUGGUAGAGAAAUAUGGGCCAUGAAUGCAGAAGACAUGCAAAACUAGAAGAGAAUGCAGCUAGCAUCCUGUACUGGAUGUGAAAUAUCAGUGUGUACAUAUGACAGGGCAAAUGUGUUAAAAUAAAAAUUGGGCUUAAAAGGACUCAGAUGUGUUGUGUAAGAAAGAAGAGAGCACCGGUGAGGUCAUGUGAUGUGUAUGGAUGAGGAGAGCUGCAUAAAACAUCUCGAUCACUGAAGACGGAAACUGUGGAAGAGCGAGACCCAGGAAGGUAUCGAAUGAAGUAGUGAAAUCUGAUCUUGGGAAGAUGACAAAGGACUAGGAUGAAUGGCGAACUGAGAUGCUCAAGAAAACCUGCCCAUCACGAAAAACCUGAAUUUCAAGAAAUAUAAUGUCUAUAUACACAAUUAGACCCUUUUCCAAAUUUCUUCAUCAAAUCUUCUCCUUCAUUCCCUCAUUCUCUAUCACUUACCUAAUUACAGUAAUCUACUGCAGUAAUUAAAUGAGGGCAGAACUACAUAUCUUAUCAUCUUCUCUGUGAAAGUUCCGGAGGAAGAAGAGAACUGCAAAAGACCAAACAAAGUACUGCAGUAGAUGACAUUGUAAAGACAACCCUGUCUAUGCAUGUAUGUAUGUAUGUAUGUAUGCAUGCGUGUAUAUAUGUAUGUGUGCAUGUAUGUAUGUAUGUAUGUAUGUAUGCGUGCGUGUAUGUAUGUAUGUAUGUGUGUAUGUAUGUGGGUAUGUAUGUGUGUGUAUGUUUGUGUGAAUGUAUGUAUGUAUGCAUGCAUGCGUACAUGUAUGCAUGCAUGCAUGCAUGGAUGUAUGUAUGUAUGUUUGCAUGCAUGCAUGCAUGUAUGUAUAUAUGUAUGUAUGCAUGCAUUCAUGCAUGUAUGUAUGUGUGUGUAUAUUAUGUAUAUGUAUGUAUGCAUGUAUGUGUGUAUGCAUGCAUGUCUGUGUGUAUGUAUGUAUGUAUGCAUGCAUGUAUGUAUGUGUGUAUGUGUGUAUGUAUGCCUGUGUAUAUGUAUGUAUGUAUGUAUGCAUGCAUGCGUGUAUGUAUGUAUGUAUGCAUGCAUGUAUGUAUAUAUGUGUGUAUGUAUGUCUGUAUGUAUGUAUGCAUGUAUGUAUGUAUGUAUGCAUGAAUGUAUGCAUGUAUGUAUGUAUGCAUGUAUGUAUGUAUGUAUGUAUGCAUGUAUGUAUGCAUGUAUGUAUUAUGUGUGUGUGCAUGUGUAUGUGUGUAUGUAUCUAUGUGUGUACGUGUGCGUGUACAUUCAUGCAUGCACGCAAGUUCUCUCCUCUCAUUAACCAAAUAUUAAACCCAGUUGAUUUGGCCGUUAUUUUUAGCAAGUUUAAAAACUUACGGAAGGUUGGUGUGAAUACAAAAGUGUGAGUAUGUUAAUGUAUUAUUCCUUAGUUCUGUGGGGGUGGGGAUAGAGGCAGAACUGAAAUUUAAACAAAAAUCAGAAACGUAAUUAAUCCCUAAUGUUGAAAAUAUAGCAAUUUGAAGAAAUUUUGUUUUUGAACAAAUAACAAUUCACUUCAUAUACAAGGAAAGGAGAAAAAUAAUCUAUCAAACCUGAAUGACAGAAACUAGUAAGUGAAUACUGAAAUAAAAACAUCCAGAUUGCUCGUUUUUAGUAUUGUAGUUAUUAUUUGAGAGUUCAAAUCUUGCUGAGGUUAUCUUUUCCUCUUAUCAUUUUGUAAUUCUACAAGUCGAGUACUGGUGUUUAAUGUAAUCGGUUUCCCCUCCCCUCAAAAUUACAGGCCUUGUGCCUACAAUAGAAAUUAUUAUAAAAUAUUUUGGUUUGUCUCAGGUUCGGUCUUAUUCCUUGUAGGAAUUACGUGGAUAGCGAGUUACGACGACCUGUAACCUUAGGGAUCCACAAGUUUUCAGCAGUCUUUCAAGUGCUUAGAACCCUCCUGAUAAUCCUUGCUGUCCUUAACAGACAAACAUCCUGUAGGAACUCUAGUGGGCAUUCUAUUUCAAUCUCCUUCAACCAUUUGUCUAUAUCUUGGCUUAGAGUUCUCAACGCACCAAUUAUUAUAGGCACGACCUUUAUUGUUCGCCGGAUCCAAAUUCUUCCUAUUUCAAAUUUUAAGGGAUUGUAUUUCCUUUGUUUUUCUUCCUCUUUCUUUAUGAUCCUGGAAUCAAAUGGGCAUGAUGGGUCGAUAAGUAAGCAACUUUGCUUUUCUUAAUCUAUGAUUGUAAUAUCUGGUCUAUUAUUUUCUAAUUUCCCACAAAAAAAGUCCCACAAAAUCUUACACUUCUCUGACUAUGAUACUCUUUCGGCUCGGUGAUCGUACCAUGUGUUUCCAGUUUCAAAUCCCAAUUUCUGGCACAGUUUCCUGUGUAAAACGUUUACAGCCUGGUUGUGCCUCCUUGGGGAAUUUUUGUGCCAACUUGGAGCAUUCUGUCACAAUGUAUGCCACUGUCUCGUUUCAAGUUCCACAGGCUCUGCAUUCUUCUGACACAUUCUCUCAAGUUGUUUAUCUUUGCAUUACUUUUCCAAUUGUAUUACAAAUAAAACAAACCAAGCUUUUUUUUUUAAUUUUUCUUCUCCAUUUUCUUUUAUUGACUUUUUAAUUUUAUGAGACUGUUUAUAUACAUAUAUAUUAAUAUUGGCAUAUGAAAUUUUCUCUAGAUCCAUUUCAGAUGAUUGCAUUGUUCAAUUAAAUGGAGCUGCUUGAAACGGUUUACUGCAUCACCUCUGGAUAUCCUGUUGCAUAUUUUAAUUUUAUUUGCACCUUAUUUUGAAAUUGCAUGGAUAAUACUGCACUAAUUUAUGGUGCCUCAACUUAAG